GUUUACUUUGGCAGCACAUAUACUAAAAAAACUGGAACAAUAUAAAGACGAAUAGCAUGGUCCCUAUGCAAGGAUGACAUCCACAUUUGUGAAGCAUUAUAUAUCAUA